UUGUUUGUUUGUUUGUGGCAGGGUCUCACUCUGUUGCCCAGGCCGGAGUGCAGUGGCAUCAAUCCUAGCUCACUGCAGCCUCAACCUCCUGAUCUCAAGCUAUCCUCUUGCCUUGGCCUCCCAAAGUCCUGGAAUUCCAGGGGUCCAACCCGGCACCAUUAUGCUUGGCAUUAUAUUGUUUUCUUUUAAUAACUGCCUUUAAUUAAUUAAUCAGGCACAUUAUUCUUCCCUUAGACCUGUAUGUAAUCGACAGUCAGUAAAUGAGAAAUAAGAAUGAUGGUUGCAAAGCCAAAUCCCAGGAGGCAGAGGUUGCAAUGAGCCAAGAUCACACCACUGCACUCCAGCCUGGGCGACAGAGCAAGACUCUGUCUCAAAAACAACAACAAAAAAAAUUAAAAUUAAAAUUAAUGAAUAUAAAAAAUAAAUUUAGACUAUAUUUCAACUUAACUCAUAAUGAAACAUUUCAGCAUUUAUUUAUGUCAGGUUAAAUUAAGUCUAAAUGGAUCCCCAGAAGCAGAUACCUGUGUAUCUUCCUCUGCAGCCUGCAGAACCAUGAGCCAAUUAAACAUCUUUUCUUUAUUCAUAGCAAUGCAAGAACAGCCUGAUAUACCUCUCCAAUUUUUCUAGCUUUUUAUUGAAAAAAAAAUAUAUAUAUAUUUGAGAUAGAGUCUUGCUUUUUUGCCCAGGCUGAAGUGCAGUGAUGUGAUUUUGGCUCACCACAACCUCCACCUCCCAGGUUCAAGGAGUUCUUCUUCCUCUGCCUCCCUAGUAGCUGGAAUUAACCUGGGCCUCCCGAAGUGCUGGGAUUACAGGUGUGAGCCACCAUGCCCAGCUGAAAAAUAUAUAAAAAGUAGAGAGAAUAUUAUAAUAAUUCCUCCCAUAGCCUUCACAUAAUUCAUGAAUAAGGAUGUCUUUUUUCUGUGCAAUUUCUUAGUAGGGAGGAUACGCAGAGCCUCAGGUGGGCAGGAUGGCAAGCUGUAAGACAGGAGGCAGGAGAGGGCGUGGGGCAGGCAUGGGAUGGGGUUCAGGCAUGAGCAGCUCAAGAGCCGGGGCAGAUGGAGUCAAGGCAGAAAGGGCUUGCUGGAAAUUGGGAGCCAGGCAUUGAAUGAACAGUCAGGGCUGAGGGUUUUUGUAGCUGGGUUGAAUCCAGAAGGCGAGGGCCUGGAACCAAGGCAGCUAAGCUCAAUGCUGUAUUGAGAGCCCAGGCAAUGUAAUAUCUCAGGACCCAGGAGAGAGACCUUCUGGGGACCUUGCAUGAGACUGUAAAGCCAGACUGUCUGGGUUUAAAUCUUGGCUCUGCCCCUUAUAGCUGAGUAUCUGGGAGCAAAUUAUUUCACUUCUCUGUGCCUCAGUUUCCCCAUCUGUAAAUUGGAUGACUAUAAUAGUACCUUCCUCAGGGGGCUGUUUAAGUGAGUCAAAACAGGUAAAGUUCUUAGAAGUGGUAGUUGGCCCAUAGUGCCAUCAGAUUCAGCUAUUUUCUUUUAGAAGUUAACCAUUAGACCACUUUGCAUAUGGAGGAUUCUUCUCCAAGGGUAUGUCACAGGCCCUGAGCAGCCUCUGAUGCUGCUGAAAGGGGAGCUUAUCUUAUCUCCAACCCAGGGGAGUCUUGGCCUUGGUUAGCAAGAUAAAUUUUUAGUAAUGUGUGUUAUUAUUCUACCAUUAUGGAGAUAUCAACAAUGGCUCUGUUCUCUUCCUGGGAUGUUCCUCUCCAACCUGUCCUCCUAACUCCAUGCGGCUUUUCAACAUUUCAGUCAACCAUUACCUCUUCCAACAGGUCCUCCCAAGCCCCCAGGCGGAGCUGCCAGCAGCUGCCCUGUCUUUUGUGUUAUCAGCAUUUAUCAAACCACUCUUAGUUUGCUUGUUUCUCUUCCUCACUAAAAUGUGAGCUAUUAUACUCACAGAUAAUGCCUCUGUGUUUUUUAUUUAAAUGUUGUUUUCAUGUUAAAAUAUUUCAUGCAGAAAAAAAUAUAUAACUGACACUUAAGUACCCACCACCAAAAUUAAGCAAAAAUUGAUAGUUUGUCUAUUUGGCUUCAUCUUUCUUCUUUAAAAAAAGUAAUGUUACCGACCAGAUAAAGCCUCACCCCCAUACUUCCCUCAUGCUUUCCUUUUCAGAGGAAAUGCCCAUCUUACAGCAUGUUUUUGUAAUUUUAUUUCACACAUACAAAUUCCUGAUCAAGAUAUACUAUUGCAUGUAUUGGAUCUUUAAGGUCUAUGUAAAUGGUAUCAGGCUGGGUGGAUACUUUAGCUACUUUCUUUUUUUUAGAACUGAUGUUUUUGAGAUUUAUUCAUGGUAUAAUAUGUACCUUUUUUCAUGAUUUUAACAGCUGUAUUAUAUUCCCUUCUGUGAAUAAGUUACCAUUUAUUUAGCCAUUUUCCUACUCAGGGAAAGUUGAAUUGGUUCCUUUUGCUGCUUCAAACAGUGCUCCAACGGACAACUGUGAGCAUCCAUCUUUGUGCACACAUGUCUGUGAGCUAAUACUUGUCAGCGUUUCUCUGGGGGAAGAGAUGACUCCACAUUGCUUACUCCCAACACAGUGCCUGAAAUAGCAAAUGACCAGUCAAUGUUUGUUGAAGGAAGAAAUGAAAAUAUGAAACUUUUCAUUCAUUUAAGCAUGAAAUACUGAUGGGCAUAAAACUAAAACAUUGCUAGGGCCCAAUUAUUAAAGAUAUAAUUAUAGCUAUGCAGGAGCAUUUACAAAUGUGAAUGGGCUGCUAUUUCUUGGCUUAAGCCACAGAAAUUCCUGUUCAAAUGAAUUAUGGGGGAAAUGAAGAUAUAAUGCCAGAGAAAAGCAGUCACUCCCUGGGUUGACUUUAGCUAUGUAUCCAGUUCAGUUCUGAAGACAGAGCUUCAAUUGUUAUUGCAGAUGAAACUGAAGGGCCAAGUCAACCACAGGGCUCUGAUUUAUGGCACUAUGAGUUGCAAAGGGAUCUAAUACCUUGCAUUACAAUGAGGCCUUAUUCGCUUUCAUGCGAAUGAUCAGGGACUGGAUCACACAUAAACAGAUACACUUUGCCUUAAGAGGCUACUUGGGGCAUAUGAUGCCACAUGUUGGAACAACAUUGAGAUCACUGAGCUGCUUAAGCUAAACAUUAUUCAGCUUCUGAUGCUGCUUUAGAAACUAAAUUAUAAAACCUCAUAACUUUGUUGUUUUCCACCUUUCCCAGGUGAGAAUCUCCCACAUGCAAAGGUAGUGUCAAAAAUCCAUCCAUCCCAAACCAUGGGAAUACCUAUGCUUUCCUUAACUAAAUCAUUAGCAAUAGAGAUGAGAUUAUACUUAUACCAAUUAGAUCCACUCCAUAAAGCUAAGUAGAGAAUUAGCUUUCCCAUAAGUCAUAUGAAAGCGAAUACCACAUGGGAAGGUAGAUGCCUGAACUUUCCUCUUAAGAGGAAAGAAGCAAGGGAUAAAUCCUGAGAAGACAAUCAACUGUGUCAACUAUAGUCCACCCCUUUAGCUUCCUGAUAUCCGUACUCUUCUUGCUCAUGCCUACAUGAAAUGUACUCAAUGAAACUCCAGUUCUCUGUGUAAUGUACAGUCAUCUUCAUCAAGUGGUUUCUCAUGUUCAAACAACACACGAAACCCAAGAGAGUUGUAAUUAAAAAUCAAAAAAUUUGAGUACAAUAUAGGAGAUCAGGAAAGGCAGCAUUUCUGCUGCAAUUUGAAAAGCUAAAUUGGAAUGAUCAUGUUUCUAAAGGCACUGGAGAGACGCAAAAGCAACAAUAAUUAGAUGAAAUAAAUUUCAAAUAAGAAAGAAGUCCUUUCAAGGUAAUCCAAGGGUCACUGGCCAUUUUUUUUUUUCCUGGGAGCAUUUGCCAACUCUGACCCCAAAAAGAGGUGCUAGGCUCAGGUAAGGAGAUGCCAUAAGAGCUUUUGGCAGUUGCAUCAAACCAGCCCAAAGAAUUGGAAGUGAGAGAGGGCCAAAUGCAAAGCUGGCUUUCCUCAUUAGUCAUUGGCUGAAUGCAGGGGUGGUGUAGAAGACUGCGGAGUCUGGCCAGAAAGACAGAGUAAAAUCUUCCACAGUCUCAGAGUGCUGUGAAGAUAAUGUCCUGCUAGAGAGAAGGAGCCUAGAAUAAGGAAACAACAGGUCUUCAUUACAACAUGUUUGUCAGAUUUUGAAGCUACAUCUAGCAGCAGAGGGUAAAAAACUAAGCUAAAACCUUGGAAUGACAAAAAGUCUAAGGCUGAAGAGAGAAAGAAUAGCUAGGCUCAAUUCAAAGCCUAAAAGGACCACAGCCAAGGAAUAGGGAUUAACCAGAGCUGAACCAAGUUUUACUAAAACUGCAACCUAGUCCCAGCCCAGCUCAGAUCCCCUUUUCAUUUAGGUAAUCAUAGGAUGCUACACAGAAGAAAAUGAAGACUGGCCAGGUGCGGUGGCUCAUGCCUGUAAUCCCAGCACUUUGGGAGGCCGAGGCAGGCGGAUCACGAAGUCAGGAGAUCGAGACCAUCCUGGCUAACACGGUGAAACCCUGUCUCUACUAAAAAUACAAAAAAAAAAAAAAAUUAGCCAGGCGUGGUGGCGGGCACCUAUAGUCCCAGCUACUCAGAGGCUGAGGCAGGAGAAUGGCAUGAACCCGGGAGGUGGAGCUUGCAGUGAGCCAAGAUCAUGCCACUGCACUCCAG
rnacentral:lncRNA from 1 species